GUCUUCAUGGGAAGUAUUUUAGUUCGAGCCUCAAAGAUCUGCUUUUCGGCUUCUGAUAAAGAACCAAAAAGAGCUGCUGAUGAGACGCUGUGUGACAGUUUGGGAGCAGAGAGCUUUCUGUGUUCGUUUACCCAGUCCUCCGUAGUGGCACCUUGGCAGACCUUCGGGGACUCGAUGGCCAGCCGGAAUGCGUACCGUGUGCCCCAUUGUCACUGACUGACAACUUCCUUUAGCAAGUGAUGGCUUUCUGGCUUCCCCUAAGAAAAGCCGUAGCCCUUUGGAUACUGAUUAUGAGGGACACUUUCUGUUUCUCUUGAAGAAAAUUUGGCCCAGGCAGGGGGUGGGUCUCUGGGAGAACUUGCUUUUCUUUUGUCCAUGCCUACUUCUGUACCCCCACAACACUCCACUUUCAUACAGCCUUGCACCCUGGGGGCACCCACCGUUGUCUCUGUGAUCUUCACCUCUUCCUUGGCCAUUUUCCUGACUGGUCACCCCCCACCUUUAUUCUUUGAAGCCAUCCACGUGUCUUCCUUCGCCGUUGUCUUCUUCAUUUCAGUCCCAUUUUCACCCUGGAUGACCUUACCAUGACUCAGUUAUGCAUUCAACAAGUAUUUUUCAGUGGCUCCUAUGUGCCCAAGCUUCGUGCCGGGCACUAAGGGUGCAACAAUGAACAAAACCAACUGUGGGACUUGCCCUCGUGGAACUUACACUCUAACUGGGGAGACAGACCCAAAUCAUACAGUCACCCAAAUGAAAUGGCAAGAUGGCAGCUGCAGUGGGUGCUAAAAAGAAACAUGGGAGUUGGUAAUAACUGGAGUGUUUGACCUUGUCAGGGAGGUCAGGGAAGCGUUCCCUGUAGGAGUGAUGCGUGACAGAGAUACGGAGGGUAAGUGGGAAUUGCCGUGGCAAAAGGGGGAGGGAACCAUGUUGCAGGCAGAAGAGAUAGCAUGUGCAAAGGCCACGUGGUUGGUUAGGGGGGAAAUGAGGGGUGCAAGGAACCAGUAAAGGACCCAAAUACAUGGUUUGGGGGCGGAGUGUGGUUCAGAGAAGAGACUAGAGAGUGGGUAGAGAUGAGAUUGAAAUAGGCCAGUUACACCACAUUAAUGUCUCGUCAUUAUGAUGAGAGCCUUUGAAGCAGGAGAGUGCCAUGACAUGAUUGUGAUACGAUGAGGCUCUCUGACCCCAGGUUGAGUGAGGGUGCCUGUGGAUUUGGGGGAAGCUAUCUAGGUGGCUGGACCGUAGUCCCGGGGAGAGACAGGGAUGGUGUUAGCUAAGAUGGAGAGGAUAUCAACUAUCUGAGAGAUACGUGAAACUAAAUCAAUGAGAUGUAAUGAUGGAUUGGAUAUACCCUGGAUGCCUCUUAGGUUCCAGGCUGGUGGCUGGGCAGAUGGCACCAUUUACUGAAAGAAAAGAUUUCCAAAGAAAACUUGGGCUGGGAGAGGGAGAUCACGAGUUUGGAUUCGGACAGAUUGAGUUGCAGAGGCCUUUGAGAACAGCUGAGCGAAGGUGCAGGCGGAGGACUGUGGGCCCUGUGCGUGAAGUCAGAGGAGGGACCCGGGCUGGGAAUAUAUGCGUGAGAUCAUCUGCGUGCGGAUGGCCAUUGAAGACGUGGGAUGGAGGAGGGGUGGAGAAGGAAGCGGAGAGGCACAAACAUGGCGGGCAGAGACUGAGGAGGAGAGCUGGCAUUUGUGUUGCCGAGGGGACAAGUAAGAGGAAGACAGAAGCUCUUCUUCUGCUGGAUUGAGCCACGAGGAGCUCAGUGGGACCCCCGGGAAGUAUAUGCCGGUGGAGCAAAGCCUCCACAGGCUGCAUCGCAUGCUACUGAGGAGCCUAAGGCAAAGAAACGAGCACCUAAACGUAAAUUUGGAUACUUGAAUAUAAACGUUCUUGCUGAGAGUUUUGACUCUGGAGAAGAAAAGUGUGUAAAUAGCUGAAAGAGAAGAGGGCGAAUGAUACGCGCAACAUUUAAGAAAUGCCCUCUUAUAUUUUUUGCCUUUUAAAUGUUUAUGGAAAUACAUCAUUCUGUUUAAAAUAUUUUCUAAUUUACCUAA